UACGUAGGUGGCAAGCGUUGUCCGGAUUUAUUGGGUUAAAGGGUGCGUAGGUGGUCUAUUAAGUCAGUGCUGAAAUAUCCCGGCUUAACCGGGAGGGUGGCAUUGAUACUGAUGGACUUGAGUAAAGUUGAGGUGGGCGGAAUUGACGGUGUAGCGGUGAAAUGCUUAGAUAUCAGGAGGAAUACCGGUGGCGAAAGCGACUCUCUGGACGGCAACUGACGGCUGAGGCACGAAAAGCGUGGGUAGCGAACAGG
rnacentral:rRNA from 1 species